rnacentral:rRNA from 1 species
AUUGAACGCUGGCGGCAGGCCUAACACAUGCAAGUCGAACGAGUGGCGGACGGGUGAGUAAUGUAUGGGAAUCUACCUUAUGGAGGGGGAUAACUACUGGAAACUGUAGCUAAUACCGCAUACCAUCGGAUGAGCCCAAAUGGGAUUAGCUAGUAGGUGGGGUAACGGCUCACCAAGGCGACGAUCCCUAGCUGGUCUGAGAGGAUGAUCAGCCACACUGGGACUGAGACACGGCCCAGACUCCUACGGGAGGCAGCAGUGGGGAAUAUUGCACAAUGGGCGCAAGCCUGAUGCAGCCAUGCCGCGUGUAUGAAGAAGGCCUUCGGGUUGUAAAGUACUUUCAGUAGGGAGGCGUUACCGACAGAAGAAGCACCGGCUAACUCCGUGCCAGCCGCCGCGGUAAUAC